AGAGUUUGAUCCUGGCUCAGGAUGAACGCUAGCGACAGGCUUAACACAUGCAAGUCGAGGGGCAUCGCGGGCGUGGCAACACGCCUGGCGGCGACCGGCGCACUGGUGAGUAACACGUAUGCAACCUGCCCUCCACAGGGGGAUAACCCGCGGAAACGCGGCCUAAUACCCCGUACGCCCCGGUUCCGCAUGGGACCCGGGUGAAAGGUUCGCUCCGGUGGAGGAUGGGCAUGCGGCGCAUUAGCUUGUUGGCGGGGUGACGGCCCACCAAGGCGACGAUGCGUAGGGGUUCUGAGAGGAAGGUCCCCCACACUGGUACUGAGACACGGACCAGACUCCUACGGGAGGCAGCAGUGAGGAAUAUUGGUCAAUGGGCGGCGGCCUGAACCAGCCAAGUCGCGUGGGGGAAGAAGGUCCUAUGGAUUGUAAACCCCUUUAGCCGGGGAGUAACGGGCGGGUCGUGACCCGCCGUGAGAGUACCCGGAGAAUAAGCAUCGGCUAACUCCGUGCCAGCAGCCGCGGUAAUACGGAGGAUGCGAGCGUUAUCCGGAUUUAUUGGGUUUAAAGGGUGCGCAGGCGGCGUCUCAAGCCGGCGGUAAAAUUGCGGCGCUCAACGCCGUAGAGCCGUCGGAACUGUGGUGCUGGAGUGCGUGCGACGGACGCGGAAUGCGUGGUGUAGCGGUGAAAUGCAUAGAUAUCACGCAGAACCCCGAUUGCGAAGGCAGCGUCCGAGCCCGCCACUGACGCUGAGGCACGAAAGCGUGGGUAUCGAACAGGAUUAGAUACCCUGGUAGUCCACGCGGUAAACGAUGAUAACUGGCUGUUCGCCGCGAUUGAGCGGUGAGCGGCUGAGCGAAAGCGUUAAGUUAUCCACCUGGGGAGUACGCCGGCAACGGUGAAACUCAAAGGAAUUGACGGGGGCCCGCACAAGCGGAGGAACAUGUGGUUUAAUUCGAUGAUACGCGAGGAACCUUACCCGGGCUCAAACGGUGCGUGACGGCGCGUGAAAGCGCGCUUUCGCAAGACACGCUCCGAGGUGCUGCAUGGUUGUCGUCAGCUCGUGCCGUGAGGUGUCGGCUUAAGUGCCAUAACGAGCGCAACCCCCAUCCCCAGUUGCCAGCGGGUGAAGCCGGGCCCUCUGGGGAGACUGCCGGCGCAAGCUGCGAGGAAGGCGGGGAUGACGUCAAAUCAGCACGGCCCUUACGUCCGGGGCGACACACGUGUUACAAUGGCGGGGCACAGCGGGAAGCCAGGCGGCGACGCCGAGCGGAUCCCGAAAACCCGUCUCAGUUCGGAUCGGAGUCUGCAACCCGACUCCGUGAAGCUGGAUUCGCUAGUAAUCGCGCAUCAGCCAUGGCGCGGUGAAUACGUUCCCGGGCCUUGUACACACCGCCCGUCAAGCCAUGAAAGCCUGGAGUGCCUGAAGUCCGUGCGCGCGAGCAGCGGCCAAGGGUAAGACAGGUGAUUGGGGCUAAGUCGUAACAAGGUAACCGUA
rnacentral:rRNA from 1 species